CUCCUCUUGGGUUUGGCCUGGGUCUUGAAGUAAUUUUUACACACACUUGUAUGUAUUGGAAUGUCUCUGUGCAUAAUGCGCAAAUGAACAACUUUCAACAACGGAUCUCUUGGCUCUCGCAUCGAUGAAGAACGCAGCGAAAUGCGAUAAGUAAUGUGAAUUGCAGAAUUCAGUGAAUCAUCGAAUCUUUGAACGCACCUUGCACCCUUUGGUAUUCCGAGGGGUACGCCCGUUUGAGUGUCAUUGUAAUCUCACUCCAACAGCCCUUUGCUGGCUGGUGGAGGUGGACCUGGACUCUGCUGUGUCAUCCAUGGCUAGUCUGAAAUGCAUGAGUGUACCCUGCUGUUGCAGCGUCUUCAGUGUGAUAAGUAUCCUCACUGAACAAAGUUCCCUCGGGACACGCACGCACAGUGGGCCCUGCGCUUUCCAACCGUCUGCCUGCCAGACAACCUUUGACAACUUGACCUCAAAUCGGGUGGGAUUACCCGCUGAACUUAAGCAUAUCAAUAAGCGGAGGA
rnacentral:rRNA from 1 species